rnacentral:rRNA from 1 species
AUGCAGUAGAACGCUGAGGACUGGUGCUUGCACCGGUCCAAGGAGUUGCGAACGGGUGAGUAACGCGUAGGUAACCUACCUCAUAGCGGGGGAUAACUAUUGGAAACGAUAGCUAAUACCGCAUGACAAUGGAAGACCCAUGUUUUUCAUUUAAAAGGUGCAAUUGCAUCACUAUGAGAUGGACCUGCGUUGUAUUAGCUAGUUGGUGAGGUAACGGCUCACCAAGGCGACGAUACAUAGCCGACCUGAGAGGGUGAUCGGCCACACUGGGACUGAGACACGGCCCAGACUCCUACGGGAGGCAGCAGUAGGGAAUCUUCGGCAAUGGACGGAAGUCUGACCGAGCAACGCCGCGUGAGUGAAGAAGGUUUUCGGAUCGUAAAGCUCUGUUGUUAGAGAAGAAUGAUGGUGGGAGUGGAAAAUCCACCAUGUGACGGUAACUAACCAGAAAGGGACGGCUAACUACGUGCCAGCAGCCGCGGUAAUACGUAGGUCCCGAGCGUUGUCCGGAUUUAUUGGGCGUAAAGCGAGCGCAGGCGGUUCUUUAAGUCUGAAGUUAAAGGCAGUGGCUCAACCAUUGUACGCUUUGGAAACUGGAGAACUUGAGUGCAGAAGGGGAGAGUGGAAUUCCAUGUGUAGCGGUGAAAUGCGUAGAUAUAUGGAGGAACACCGGUGGCGAAAGCGGCUCUCUGGUCUGUAACUGACGCUGAGGCUCGAAAGCGUGGGGGAGCAAACAGGAUUAGAUACCCUGGUAGUCCACGCCGUAAACGAUGAGUGCUAGGUGUUAGGCCCUUUUCCGGGGCUUAGUGCCGGAGCUAACGCAUUAAGCACUCCGCCUGGGGGAGUACGACCGCAAGGUUGAAACUCAAAGGAAA